ACACUUCUGGACAAGAGCAAAUGUCACAUUGGCUGAUAUAGACCAACCACUAUGGUAUCUAUCAUGUGACAAUUGCAACAAAUCUACAAGUGUAGCUGUAAACGAAACUUAUUUUUGUAGAUUUUGCAAGCACAACUAUGCUACACCGACUCCAAGAGCAAGAGCAAUCGUUCAGUUACAGGACUACACAGGCUCAAUCAUAGCAUCAAUUAUUGGAAAACCAGCUGAAACAUUCCUCAAAUGCUCGGCAACAGAAUUGAUGAAACAAAGUUCUAAUGUAACUAUCUCAAAAUUUCAUUUUUUUGCCUACUAUUUUCUCUCCAAUAAAUAUACUAUUAAUUACUUCUAAUGAACAUUCCAACAGGAACAUAUGGAGAGUAGCUCUACAAUUCCAGCAACAACUCCACGUGAGCACAUCGUAUACAUCAAAGCUGGAAAUAUAGAGACAAUCACUAACAAGGCACCAUAUGAAGUCAUCUUCAUCCUUGACUCACACCUCCAAGAUGACAACCAGUUACCUGCCAACAUCACACAACCAAGCACUACACAUGAAGCUCCCAAACAUGCAGAUAAAAAACAGAAGCAAGAGUAGCUGUUGAAGACCUGAAAAUACAUAUUUUGUAUUUCUUUUGCACACUUGUGUCCACAAUCCAAUAGACCAGAUUCCCAGCAUCUCUAUCUGCCAUACUAAAUUUUGUUCAUUGUCCAUAUUAACAUAUUAGAAACCAUGUACCCAAAUACGGCAUGUAACAUCUCUGUGUAUGGCACCUAAGAACUCUGUUUUGUACUUCAUAUUACUAUUGCCAAUGUAACUACUUGUGGACACAUUUUAUAUAAUCUAAUGUAAUCAUCCUUCUAA